UUGCUUCUUCUAUAUAACUCACCCUCCUCUCUCCAUCUUGCUGAUCUCUCUCAUGAUGAAAUUAUACAAUGCUAUGUACAUAUUACUAUUGAGAACUCUAGUUAAUUUUUCAAUACUAACUUGUAUAAAUUUGAGUAACAGCUAGCAAAGAUAAGCAACUAAAUUGGAAGAUGUGACUCAGCUGAAGCCUACCCAAGUAACGUGGAGAGGUGCUGGUUCUAGUUGGGGUAGCAGUGGC
rnacentral:lncRNA from 1 species